rnacentral:rRNA from 1 species
AGAGUUUGAUCCUGGCUCAGAUUGAACGCUGGCGGCAUGCCUAACACAUGCAAGUCGAACGGUAACGCGAGGAGCUUGCUCCUUGGCGACGAGUGGCGGACGGGUGAGUAAUACUUAGGAAUCUGCCCAUGUAGUGGGGGACAACUCGGGGAAACUCGAGCUAAUACCGCAUACGCCCUAAGGGGGAAAGCGGGGGCUCUUCGGACCUCGCGCUAUUGGAUGAGCCUAAGUCGGAUUAGCUUGUUGGUGAGGUAAAGGCUCACCAAGGCGACGAUCCGUAGCUGGUCUGAGAGGACGAUCAGCCACACUGGGACUGAGACACGGCCCAGACUCCUACGGGAGGCAGCAGUGGGGAAUAUUGGACAAUGGGGGCAACCCUGAUCCAGCAAUGCCGCGUGUGUGAAGAAGGCCUGCGGGUUGUAAAGCACUUUCAAUUGGGAAGAAAAGCAGUCGGUUAAUACCCGGCUGUCUUGACGUUACCUUUACAAGAAGCACCGGCUAACUCCGUGCCAGCAGCCGCGGUAAUACGGAGGGUGCGAGCGUUAAUCGGAGUUACUGGGCGUAAAGCGCGCGUAGGCGGUUUGGUAAGUCGGAUGUGAAAGCCCCGGGCUCAACCUGGGAAUUGCAUUCGAAACUGCCAGACUAGAGUAUGGGAGAGGAAAGCGGAAUUUCCGGUGUAGCGGUGAAAUGCGUAGAUAUCGGAAGGAACAUCAGUGGCGAAGGCGGCUUUCUGGACCAAUACUGACGCUGAGGUGCGAAAGCGUGGGUAGCGAACAGGAUUAGAUACCCUGGUAGUCCACGCCGUAAACGAUGACAACUAGAUGUUGGGAGGAUUUGCCUCUCGGUGUCGCAGUUAACGCGUUAAGUUAUCCGCCUGGGGAGUACGCCGGCAACGGUAAAACUCAAAGGAAUUGACGGGGACCCGCACAAGCGGUGGAGCAUGUGGUUUAAUUCGAUGCAACGCGAAGAACCUUACCUGGCCUUGACAUCCUCAGAACUUGUUAGAGAUAACUUGGUGCCUUCGGGAACUGAGUGACAGGUGCUGCAUGGCUGUCGUCAGCUCGUGUCGUGAGAUGUUGGGUUAAGUCCCGCAACGAGCGCAACCCUUGUCCCUAGUUGCCAGCACAUAAUGGUGGGAACUCUAGGGAGACCGCCGGUGAUAAACCGGAGGAAGGUGGGGAUGACGUCAAGUCAUCAUGGCCCUUAUGG